GACGAACGCUGGCGGCGUGCCUAAUACAUGCAAGUUGAGCGCUGAAGGUUGGUACUUGUACCAACUGGAUGAGCAGCGAACGGGUGAGUAACGCGUGGGGAAUCUGCCUUUGAGCGGGGGACAACAUUUGGAAACGAAUGCUAAUACCGCAUAAAAACUUUAAACACAAGUUUUAAGUUUGAAAGAUGCAAUUGCAUCACUCAAAGAUGAUCCCGCGUUGUAUUAGCUAGUUGGUGAGGUAAAGGCUCACCAAGGCGAUGAUACAUAGCCGACCUGAGAGGGUGAUCGGCCACAUUGGGACUGAGACACGGCCCAAACUCCUAUGGGAGGCAGCAGUAGGGAAUCUUCGGCAAUGGACGAAAGUCUGACCGAGCAACGCCGCGGGAGUGAAGAAGGGUUUCGGAUCGUAAAACUCUGUUGGUAGAGAAGAACGUUGGUGAGAGUGGAAAGCUCAUCAAGUGACGGUAACUACCCAGAAAGGGACGGCUAACUACGUG
rnacentral:rRNA from 1 species